AUAAAUAAGCGGUGGAAAAGAAACCAACAGGGAUUCCCUUAGUAGCGGCGAGCGAACAGGGAUGAGCCCAGCGCCGAAUUCCGCGUCCCAAAGGACGUUUGGAACAUGUGGCGUUUAGGAGGAAUCUCUCCGGAGGCAGACGGUGUCGCAAGUCCCCCUGAACGGGGCUGUGAUCCAGAGCGGGUGCGAGGCCCAUAGCUGGUACUGUCUCCUUCGGGUGUCACCUCCUUGGAGUCGGGUUGCUUGGGAGUGCAGCCCUAAUUGGGUGGUAAACUCCACCUAAGGCUAAAUACGUCCGUGAGACCGAUAGCAAACAAGUACCGUGAGGGAAAGUUGCAAAGAACUUUGAAGAGAGAGUUCAAGAGUACGUGAAACCGCUCAGAGGCAAACGGGUGGGCCCACGAAAGCCGAAGGCAGGGGGAUUCAGUCGAGAGGACGUUGGGGCAAGGCUGGCUGGUUUGACGGACCGUGCCAGGCCGGGUCAGCUCCCGAGACCCUUCGCCUCUCGACGCAUUUCCCUCUGCUUAGUAGGACGCCGCAACCCGUUGGUGCACGCAGCCAUAAGGGAGAGCGAUGGAAGGUAGCCAGUGAGCUCUUCUUCGGAGGAGCGAGCUGGUCCUAAGCCUGCUCUCCUGGUGCUUGUGGCCCGACGGUGGUCUCGAGUCCCUGAACGGGAUGUCGCCGAGCCCUUCUAGACCGAGCAGGAAGAAAUGGCAGGCUGCUUUCCGUGACCAAAAAACGGUUGCUCCACGCGUGCAGUGGACAACCUUCGGAAGCGGCUGUUGGUGCAUUUUCUCCUGCGCUGGGCACAGGCAGUUGGCGGCGAGUAGGUCGGUCACCCACCCGACCC
rnacentral:rRNA from 1 species